GUUCCUUUGCCAUCUUUUAGACCAAAUGCCCAAGUCCCAACAUAGCUUCCUCCAUCACUCCAAGUGUAAACUCCAAAUCCAUGCAUCAUGCCAUUUAACCAGUUUCCUUCGUACGAGUCCCCAUUUAUCCAGGUGAGUGUUCCUUUCCCAGACAUUAUCCCACCUUUCAUAUUCCCCACAUAAACAUUUCCAUUGGUCCACGUAUACUUGCCAGGGCCCUCUGGUGUUCCUUGCAUCCAAGAACCUUCAAAGGUAUCUCCAUUAGGAUAAACUUCAUAUCCCAAACCAUGUUUAAGAUUCAACCGCCAUCUACCUUUAUAGGUCAAUUUAUCAGAACGAAUAUAUGUCCCCGUGCCAUGGAUAUAUCCACCGGAGAAAUCACCUUCAUACACUGCUCCAGAAGGCCAUCUUAUCU
rnacentral:lncRNA from 1 species